CGACCUCACUUUCACACUUUCACUUAUUACCUUAGUGUUCUGCUGUGUGUGUGUGUGUGUUUCUGUCUCAUAGCUUAGAGGCCUUUCAAACUUCAAAUAACUUGAAAACAGCUCUUUCUUAUCUUGCCCCUGUGCCAUUUGGUUUUCUUCCUCUGACAUUAUUUAAUGUUACUUUCAGUAGCCACUUGGAAUUAUGAUUCAAGGAAGCUGUGCCUCAGCUCAGCAUUGGGAUCCACCCUCAAGGACUGGCUCAAAGGCAGUGUUCAACUCAUGGGACUUACUUUGAAAAGCAGAUUCUUUACCAGCUGAGCCACCAGGGAAGCCCAAGAAUACUGGAGUGAAUAGCCUAUCCCUCCUCCAGGGGAUCUUCCCAACCCAGGAAUUGAACCGGGGUCUCCUGCAUUGCAGGUGGAUUCUUUACCAGCUGAGCUACCAAACUCUGCAUGGGACAACAUGCCAACUGCCAAGCAACUAGCUGACAUUGGCUACAAGACCUUCUCCACCUCCAUGAUGCUCCUCACGGUGUAUGGGGGCUACCUCUGCAGUGUCCGAGCCUACCACUAUUUCCAGCGGCGCAGCUCCCAGCGCCAGGCUGCAGAAGAACAGAAGACCUCAGGAGCCCUAUAGAAUUGCGGGGCUUUUUUCCUUGAGCAGAGAGGCCUGAGGCAUGCUGUGGAAAGACUGCACCUGCAAUCAUUUCUGAGUCAAGAGGACCAGGGCCUUACUGGCUUUCGAACUCUGUGGAAAAUGCCCAUGUUUUCUCUGGUACAGCCAGUUUGGAGAGGGUAUCGAAUCAAAACAGGAAUGGGAGGGUGAGGCACACCUAUAGCCAUUAAAUACUUUGCCAUA